rnacentral:rRNA from 1 species
UACGGGGGGUCCAAGCGUUGUUCGGAAUCACUGGGCGUAAAGCGCAUGUAGGUGGCUUUUCAAGUCAACUGUGAAAGCCCAGGGCCUAACCCUGGAAGUGCAGUUGAUACUGUUGAGCUUGAGUACGAGAGAGGAUAGUGGAAUUCCUGGUGUAGUGGUGAAAUGCGCAGAUAUCGGGAGGAACACCGGUGGCGAAGGCGGUUCUCUGGGCCUGUUCUGACGCUGAGGAGCGAAAGCGUGGGGAGCGAACAGG